rnacentral:rRNA from 1 species
GCAAGUCGAGCGCGAAAGCACUUCGGUGUGAGUAGAGCGGCGGACGGGUUAGUAACGCGUGGGAACGUGCCCUUCUCUAAGGAAUAGCCACUGGAAACGGUGAGUAAUACCUUAUACGCCCUUCGGGGGAAAGAUUUAUCGGAGAAGGAUCGGCCCGCGUUAGAUUAGAUAGUUGGUGGGGUAAUGGCCUACCAAGUCUACGAUCUAUAGCUGGUUUUAGAGGAUGAUC